UGAGGAAUAUUGGUCAAUGGGCGAGAGCCUGAACCAGCCAAGUCGCGUGAAGGAUGACUGUCUUAUGGAUUGUAAACUUCUUUUAUACAGGAAUAACAAGAGUCACGUGUGACUCCCUGCAUGUACCGUAUGAAUAAGCAUCGGCUAACUCCGUGCCAGCAGCCGCGGUAAUACGGAGGAUGCGAGCGUUAUCCGGAUUUAUUGGGUUUAAAGGGUGCGUAGGCGGUUUGUUAAGUCAGCGGUGAAAUCUAGAGGCUCAACCUCGAAACUGCCGUUGAAACUGGCGAACUUGAGUGUAGAUGAGGUAGGCGGAAUUCGUGGUGUAGCGGUGAAAUGCAUAGAUAUCACGAGGAACUCCAAUUGCGAAGGCAGCUUACUAAGGUACAACUGACGCUGAAGCACGAAAGCGUGGGUAUCAAACAGGAUUAGAUACCCUGGUAGUCCACGCAGUAAACGAUGAUAACUGGGCGUAUGCGAUAUACAGUAUGCUCCUAAGCGAAAGCGUUAAGUUAUCCACCUGGGGAGUACGCCGGCAACGGUG
rnacentral:rRNA from 1 species